rnacentral:rRNA from 1 species
AACGAACGCUGGCGGCGUGGAUAAGACAUGCAAGUCGAACGGGACAGACCGAGUAGCAAUAUUUGGAAUGUUCAGUGGCGAACGGGUGCGUAACACGUGGAUAACAUUCCGGAAAGCGGGGAAUAGCCCAGGGAAACUUGGAUUAAUACCGCAUGUGGCCGCAAGGCUAAAGACGGGGACCGCAAGGCCUGUCACUUUCCGCUUGGUCCGCGGCCUAUCAGCUAGUUGGCGGGGUAAUGGCCCACAAAGGCUACGACGGGUAGCUGGUCUUAGAGGACGACCAGCCACACUGGAACUGAGACACGGUCCAGACACCUACGGGUGGCAGCAGUCGAGAAUCUUUCACAAUGGGGGCAACCCUGAUGGAGCGACGCCGCGUGGAGGAUAGGUCUUCGGAUUGUAAACUCCUGUCAUGCGAGAACAAGGUACUCAGGCUAAUAACCUGAUUGUUUGAUGGUACCGCAAGAGGAAGAGACGGCUAACUCUGUGCCAGCAGCCGCGGUAACAC